rnacentral:rRNA from 1 species
ACGGGGUGCAGCAGGCGCGAAAACUUGCCAAUGUGGGAAACCACGAGCAGGGGAGUCCAAGUGCAUGCACUUUGUGUAUGCUGUUCGUUUGCCUAAAAAGCAGUCGAAGUAAGGGCUGGGUAAGACAGGUGCCAGCCGCCGCGGUAAUACCUGCAGCCCGAGUGGUGGUCGAUAUUAUUGAGCCUAAAGCGUCCGUAGCCGGUCUGGUAAACCCUUGGGUAAAUUGGGCAGCUUAACUGUCCGAAUUCCGAGGGGACUGCCAGACUUGGAACCGGGAGAGGUCAGAGGUACUCCAGGGGUAGGGGCUAAAUCCUGUAAUCCUUGGGGGACCACCAGUGGCGAAGGCGUCUGACUAGAACGGAUUCGACGGUAAGGGACGAAACCCUGGGUCGCAAACCGGAUUAGAUACCCGGGUAGUCCAGGGCGUAAACGCUGCAGGCUUGGUGUUGGGGGUCCUACGAGGGCGCCCAGUGCCGGAGUGAAGAUGUUAAGCCUGCCGCUUGGGGAGUACGUCCGCAAGGAUGAAACUUAAAGGAAUUGGCGGGAGAGCACAGCAACGGGAGGAGCGUGCGGUUCAAUUGGAUUCAACGCCGGAAAACUCACCGGGAGCGACGGUUACAUGAAGGUCAAGCUGAUGACUUUACCUGAUUUUCCGAGAGGUGGUGCAUGGCCGUCGUCAGUUCGUACCGUAAGGCGUUCUGUUAAGUCAGAUAACGAACGAGACCCUCGCCCUUAAUUGC